UAGCAUAAUCAUUUGUUUUUUAAUUGAAAACUAGUAUGAAUGGUUAAACAAUGAAAAUUUUCUUUAUUUUUAAAUAAGUAAUUUGUAUUUUAAGUAAAAAUACUUAAAUAUAUAUGAGGGACGAUAAGACCCUAAAAGCUUCAUUUUUAUUUUAUUUAUAUAAAAUUUAUGUAAUAUAAAAAUAUCUAUAAAUAUAAAAAUUAGCUGGGGUAGUUAUUUUAAUAUAAUUAAAAUUUAUUAAUACAUUUAAUAUUAAUGGUGAAAGAUCCUUUAUAUAAGGAAAAUUAGUCAUAGUUACUUUAGGGAUAACAGCGUUAUAUUUUUGGAGAGAUCUUAUCUAUAAAAAUGAUUGCGACCUCGAUGUUGAAUUAAAAUUACUAUAUGAAGCAGAAAAUAUAAAAAGUGGGUUUGUUCAACCUUUAAAUUUUUACAUGAUU
rnacentral:rRNA from 1 species